rfam:Desulfosporosinus meridiei DSM 13257, complete genome.
GAAGUCAACCAGAUGAUCGCGGAGACAGGGAUCGAAAGAUCGUCUCUGAGGAAAGUCCGAGCUCCAUAGGGCAAGGUGCUGGGUAACGCCCAGUGGGGGAAACCCCAAGGAAAGUGCAACAGAGAUAUACCGCCGAUAGCGGAGGUCUACUGACUUCCGAGUAGGUAAGGGUGGAAAGGCGAGGUAAGAGCUCACCGGCAGUCAGGUGACUGGCUGGCCAUGUAAACCCCACCUGGAGCAAGACCGAAUAGGGGAACGAUGAACGGCCCGUUUUUGUUCCCGGGUAAGGUCGCUAGAGGCCGUCGGUAACGGCGGUUCGAGAUAGAUGAUCAUCACCUCUUUUAAGAGGUACAGAACUCGGCUUAUGGGUGACUUCGCAA